GUGUCUGUAUAGAUGUUAACCAUUCCUCUCCUCUGUCCCAACAGUGUCUGUAUAGAGUAACCAUUCCUCUCCUCUGUCCCAACAGGUGUCUGUAUAGAUGUUAACCAUUCCUCUCCUCUGUCCCAACAGGUGUCUGUAUAGAUGUUAACCAUUCCUCUCCUCUGUCCCAACAGGUGUCUGUAUAGAUGUUAACCAUUCCUCUCCUCGUCCCACAGGUGUCUUAUAUAUGUUAACCAUUCCUCUCCUCUGUCCCAACAGGUUUGUAUAGAUGUUAACCAUUCCUCUCCUCUGUCCCAACAGGUGUCUGUAUAGAUUCCUCCCUCUGUCCCACAGGUGUCUGUAUAGAUCCUCUCCUCUGUCCCAACAGUGUCUGUAUAGAUUCCUCUCCUCUGUCCCAACAGGUGUCUGUAUAGAUGUUAACCAUUCCUCUCCUCUGUCCCAAAAGGUGUCUGUAUAGAUGUU
rnacentral:lncRNA from 1 species